UACGUAGGGGGCUAGCGUUGUCCGGAUUUAUUGGGCGUAAAGGGCGCGUAGGCGGCUUCGCUAGUCGGGCGUGAAAUGCCUGGGCUUAACCCGGGAAUUGCGUUCGAUACUUCGAGGCUAGAGUGUGGGAGAGGUUGGUGGAAUUCCCAGUGUAGAGGUGAAAUUCGUAGAUAUUGGGAAGAACACCGGUGGCGAAGGCGGCUCACUGGCCCGUAACUGACGCUGAGGUGCGAAAGCGUGGGGAGCAAACAGG
rnacentral:rRNA from 1 species